rnacentral:rRNA from 1 species
CUAGCUGUAAACGAUGGAUACUAGGCGUUGAGAGUAUCGACCCUCUCAGUGUCGUAGCUAACGCGUUAAGUAUCCCGCCUGGGGAGUACGCGCGCAAGCGUGAAACUCAAAGGAAUUGACGGGGGCCCGCACAAGCGGUGGAGUAUGUGGUUUAAUUCGAUGCAACGCGAAGAACCUUACCAGGGCUCGACAUGUCCGGAACCCUGCCCAAAGGCGGGGGUGCCUACGGGAACCGGAACACAGGUGGUGC